UCACUCAGCUGCGGAUCCCCCUUGUCGGAACCCGCCGAACCUGCUCUCAGCCAGCGAUGAUCCACAAUCAAUAUCUGAACAUCAACACCCACUAAAAUCCAUCAAAUUUCACAAUUUCAGCACUUUAAGCUUAAAAAUCACCCAACUUCAACGUCAACACUCACCUAAAGAUCUCCAAAUCAGGUGAGGACAGUCCCACAUC
rnacentral:lncRNA from 1 species